UACAGAGGGUGCAAGCGUUGUUCGGAAUUAUUGGGCGUAAAGGGCGCGUAGGCGGUGCUGUAAGUCUGUGGUGAAAUCUCUGGGCUCAACUCAGAGUCUGCCAUAGAAACUGCAGUGCUGGAGUGUGGGAGAGGUGAGUGGAAUUCCCGGUGUAGCGGUGAAAUGCGUAGAUAUCAGGAGGAACACCAAUAGCGAAGGCAGCUUGCUGGGACGGUACUGACGCUAAGGCGCGAAAGCGUGGGGAGCGAACAGG
rnacentral:rRNA from 1 species